GAACGUUAAUGUUGAAUUUUAAUAUUUUCUUAUUUUAGCAUUUUUUUUUUUUUACCAGACCCUAUUUUAUUGUGUAUUUCUAUAACCCCCUUUCUCUCCCUUUUCCAGCCUUCUCCAGUCUAUAGUAGGGUAGGUGGUGGUAAUGCUUCAGGGACAGGUGCUCCUCUGAUACUAGGGGUUUAUUUAGUGCUCCGUCAUUAGCAGGGCAUUACCCGCAUUACCCCCUGGCCCCCGCUGUAAUAACAGGGGCAGGAAAGGCAGUGUCAGCAGGGGGCAGCUGCAUCUGCUGCAGGCUGAGGCCUCACACGGCCCCACCAACAGGCAAAAGCACCAGUGACCCGUGUCCUGGGGGAUGCAGCCACGAAGAGACACAUGCAUAACUGCCGAUAAGCUUUUUGAAUCGUUUUCUUUCUCUCCACACACAGGGUUGGCUGCUGUGUGAGGAUCAGGCCUACCGGAACCGAACCCGUCGGCUGCCAAUUGCGUUCUCGAGGUCCGGACCGAUCUGUCCAACCUGUCUCAGAUCCACACUGAGGCCUGAGCUCUUCCAGCAGGCUGCGUUUGGGCUGUACCGAAGAUUCGGUGGUAUGGCACUGGCUGCCAUGUCUCUAUCAAGAAGGGGGAGAUGAUGCGGGGGUCUCAGGAGAGAGGCAAUUUCACAGCUGGUUUGCUCCUCAGUCACUCGUGCCGAAAAUCCUGCAGAUUUGUGGAGAAAAUUGAAAUGGUGUCAGUACAGGAACAAAGCAUUGAGCCGAGCAAAGCUGCAUAAGGGAGGGGCCUCUGUUUGCAAGGUGGGGGGGGGGGGGUUUAAAUUCAUUAACGUUUGACGUGCUUUGGUCACGCCCCUUUUGACACCUGUCAGCACAGCUGUGGAGCUCAUCCUGGCCCUGCCUCACAUGUCCGUCCACUUAUUUCUCGGACUGCAGUUUUAGUUCACGAUCUCCUUCGCUCGCACAUGGCGACCUGGCGCUGAUUAUAGGAGCUCCAUUAUGGCCGCAUUGGUGAAUCGACAGGCACCAGCCAGUGCAUUAUGGGUCACCAGCUGCUGGGCUCAUCGGAAGCUGUAGAGGGCAAUUAAAAGCCGUUGUGCUGAGAAGAGAGCCCUUGCUAAACUCCUCCGUCACCCACAUCGCUCUGAUUCUAUGGUGACAUAGAAAGACUGUGACCCAAUAACAGCAAUUAACAUAAAAGUAUAAUGGCUAAUCAAAUUGACAGCAACAGUUGUUCAUCAGAUCCACACACGCUGCCUUAUCAAAACAAACUAUUAUGAAAGAGGUAAUUUCAGAGCUGAACGUCUCUCUCUCUCUCUCUCUCUCUCUCUCUCUCUCUCCAUUCUCUUUUAUUCUGUUGUUCGACCUGUGCGCCUUUGGCAGUUAGACACAUGGCUAACGGUAAUUACAGCCAAAUUUACAAACCAAACACUGUUCCCUGCGUUUGUCAGGAGAGAAGGUAAGGGAGUACACUGACUGUUUUCGGCCAAUCAGACCAUUUCGCAGGUUCUGUGACUCCAAACUCGGGGUUUGACUGAGCGUGUGUGUUUGUCUUUGUCUGUGACAGUAGAGAAUAUUUGACAAACACUACCUGUCUCCGCAGCUGUAAUUAACACAGGUGAUUCUCCAGCUUUCCCUGAUUGAGCCGCACCAGUCUCAUUAUGCUUCAGCCUUUAAUUUUCUCUGGGACAAUAACAUGUAGUACUAAACUACAUCAGUAUGAUUUUUAGAUAAUUGGUUUUUCCCUUUUCUCUUUUUUUAGUUAUAUUGAAUAUGCUAAGAAUAAUCAGCAACCACAGUGUCAGUAAAGAAUUGGUAAACAGCUUUGAAUGUUAAAGUUAUAGUUUUACUUUUUAUAAUGAGCAGGUCUUACAUUUUUAUGAAAAAUCUCCCAUUGAUAGAGUACACAGUGUUUAUAAAACAGUGCCAAAGGGCCCUCAGCAUUAGGGUUUUUUUGUUUUCGUUUUUACCAAAAUAGUAGAAUUUAUUUUUAUAUAUUGAUAUAUAUAUUUUAUAUAUUUGUUUAUACCUAAUUUGAUGGCACUGUUAAAACUGUUCCACUUAAUACAUAUUUAUACAUUUGGAGUAUGAGGAACUAUUAACAUAAAACUCUAACCACUGCUUAAAAAUAUUGCAAAUAUCAAAAUAAUAUACUAAUACCAUUCAGAGAAAUUUAAGUACGGUUUUACAGAAAUGUCUUAUCGCCCAGUGAACUGGUCACUAAUAGAAUUUGCAACUCUAAACCAAGCUUGUGCUUUUCAAUAUAAUGUAAAUUAUAAUAUUAUCCAUUAUUUUAAGUGGUUUUGAUGGGUUUGCUGAUUGGCAGGCCAUGUAAUACCUUAAAAACUUGACAACUUCAAUGUAAAAUCAUUUAAAAACCAUUCUUUCUCCUUUUCCUGGAGAUUACCAUCAUUUUUGUAUUAUUCAAACAUUAUUUGUUUCAUUGUAGCUGGCUUCACUGUGCAUAUUUAAACUGUAGCUGGAUCGCAUGGGUGUACUGAAUUUAGUCUUUUCUCCCAAUAUUGUUGCACUUAUUUUAUUGUAGCAUUGGUUUGGUUUGUGAUUCUUUUCAAAAUCAGUGCAAUGAAAUUUGAACUUGUCGAAAGUUCACAAGAAAUCAGUCAAGAGCCAGGGGAAAUGGCCGAACGCCAGUUAAAUUUCCAUAUGUUAUGCAUGUGAUGAUGAUGCACAGUUUUGCCAAGCAUUUUGUCUGGAAGCAAGUGGUGAAAGCCAUUGAUUUUGGCAUUCAUUCAGCCUGGUACUUUGACCAGCUUCUGACAGAUCUUGUUAACCUGUCUGUUUUUAGUUUCCCUGACGAAUAACAUGGGAGUUUUUGUGUACGUGUCAUCACCUUAUAAGUUGUAAUAUCUGUUUUAAUCCGUUUUAUCUUUUCCUUUCCAUUCUAGUAUUCAGAGAAAGCUCUCUACAACCAACUGAGCUUCUACAGAUACAUCUUCGACUGGGAAUACGCCGUCAACAAGGUCCUGUCAGGAGAGGAUAGAUUGAAAUUCAAGAUUGGCUGGAAAGAAGAAAAGGGUGUGUACAAAAUGCUAAAGGAUGUAAUGGACAACGUCCUCUCCACCAGCGGAUACUCUGAGGUCAACCUCGACAAACUUUUCCAGGCCUUCACAGUCCUCAAGUAUUGACCAACUGUCGAAGCAAACCUGGGUGAUCUGAUAUGGCAUAAUAUUUAUGCCUUUCUGACUACCAAGAGAAGCCCUACUAUGUUAUGUUUUCAUCUUUUAAUUCUGGUCUGCUGUAAAUACACCUUAUGGUUUUGUAAUCUAUGCUAUAUACUAGCUCACCUCACUGUGCCUUUAUAAAACCUGACAGCAUUUUUGAUCCUGAUGGCUUGGAUGUGAAUUAAGGUCAAAGGUGACGAGCUCACAGUCAAUCUGCAUGUAAUCACCGAACCUUUCCAUGUUUGAGCACCUGUCUCUCACUGUAAUCUGUGUUCUUGUGUCCCAUCCCAUUUAGCCUUUGUCCAGGUCUAAUCGAUGAUGAGUCUGUGGUAAAAUGGCCAUGGUAAGCGGCUAAAGACGCUCUCAACACAACCCAGCCCCCCACUCCCCGGGUAGCACCACACACACACACAGAGGGGUUUUUGAGAUCACAAUCAGGGGUAAUGACAGGCAAGUUCAUGGGGACUUGUAGCGGUGUGAAGGGGUCUUAGUCCAGUAAUGACUUCUCUACUGCCCCCUUCAUCUUUAACAGCACAGCAAUUAGCCAAUGAUACAGAGGUAGCCAGUGAUUUGUGGAGUUUCAAAUGAUUAAACUCAUGUCUAAACUGCUCUCAGCUGGCAUGUUGCAAAUGUAUUAGACAAAUUGCAUCAUUUGGUCCGAGACUGGCAGGUUGUGUUGCAUAUUUUGGACGUUUAUUGCUUUUAUAAAGGUGCCUCUAGAUUCUUAAUUGUUUUUGAUACUGAAACAUCAGUUAAAGUAUUUUUAUAUUCACCCACCCCCCACCUUUUUUGGUUAUUUUAUUUCAUCAUCCUGCAGGGAGUGAUGACAUUUACACAUUUGAAGAGGGCGAGUUAACUUCUCCAAAUGGAAGGCUCCAUUUUCAAGACCUGGAGAAUAGCAAGCCAAGAGUGUGUGAAAGCGAGGAGAUUAGUCCACUUAAAUCGAGUUGGGCUUAAGAAUGUGGUGCUUCACUCGCUCAUUCCAUGUGUUUAUAAUGACAGUUAGACGAUGUCUUAAACCAUUUCAUCAGAUGUCAAUUUCCAUAAAUGCCAUGCUUGGAAAAAAAAUUGACUUAAACGGCUGCGACUAAUGGCACCGACCUUGGAGAGUGCAGCAACACUUAAGAGCUACUUUCUGUCCACAGCAUGACAGACGGCAUUUUGCGCAUUGUAGGCCUUUGCUGCUGAUGUAUUAAACAUAUAUCAGCCCAUAUAUACAUUUAGCUUAAUGUGUGCUUCGGAACGAUACUUAACAAAUGCAGGUAGUUCCUGAAACUCAUGUCAAACUUUUAUAAGAUUAAGUCGUCACAUGAUGUGGGGCUUUCAAUGGGACAUUCCUUUAACCGUGAACGCGCUUUUGUCGUGCCCGCGGAGGCUGUUUUCAAACUGGGCCACUCAAUGCAGAAAAGGCUUUGCAUUAAUUUACCUCACUAAGUUAAUAAGAAUGAUUCGUUUUUGUUAUGCUAAGCUUUAUUGCCUGUCUUUUUGACCAGAAUGGUGGUGUUGAGCAAAGCGGUGGACAAGGUUCUCUUUGAUGAGGGAAUUAGUGCCCUAUUCUUUCUCUAUUAUUCAUGGCAUCGUGGAAUAUGUAAGUACCCGUGGGUGUCAAAAGGAAAGCCGGCCCUAUUGCAAAGUGCUCCUCUUGUUUCUCUGAAUAGCAGGCUAUGAGAUGAUAAACCACUUAAUACACUGGACUAAUUGGAUGAGGGUAAAAGAGACGAAGGAAUUAAGGCACACCAAAAGGGGACGAGGUUCCAGUGGCCCGCCAUUCAGCCCUUUUCACUGUGAUUUCUUACUCAACUGCUCCAAUUGGAGACGAAAGGCUCAUCAAAGCGCCUUUAGUGCUUUCACCUAACCUCGGUGUCUCGAGCUGUGUCGGGAUGGAAAUGGCGUGAUUAUUCGCUGGUUGUUGAAGCACAACCCAGUGAGCUAAAAUCAAGGAAAUGCAUGUGAAAUUUGACCAUGCAUGUAUGAACUGUCAAAGUACACUUCAUUUGUAAUGUUGUAGUUUGCAUAUAGGUGGGGCUUUUCUUAAAAAAAGAAAAAUGCUGUUGUGUUCUUUAUGAACAUGUAAAUGGCUUUUAAAAGUUACCAUUAAACAAUUCUAUAAAGAUACCAUUUUGCCUUCCCCUCAGCUGUUUCUCUCUAUUAGUAUAGCAAAUUUGCACAUUUUGAUUUUGUGAGAAAUAUAUCUAUUAUAUAUCCUUUUAUUUAUUUUUGCUGUGGUAUUGACCAUUAAAAAAAAAAAAAAAACAAGGACUAGGUUUUGUCAGUACACUCUUAAAUAUGGAACCCUGCUCCCAAGAGUUUGUACAGUAAACUAUUUGAAGAUUAAA